AUUCAUUCAGUCAGUAAGCGAGCGAGUUUUGGCGUAGAACAGCUUUUAUUAACGAUCCAGUGGAUAAAGGAGCAGCAUUACUGCACAGAUCAUUAAAUAUUCGUCGGUAGAUUGUUAUCAGACCGAGCAUAAAUGUUCUUGCAUUUCCGGACAAUUAUCGGUUUGAGCGGUACCGUUUCAUAAUCGUUUCAAGUCCAUGAUCUACAUAAACAACCUAAUCCGUCCUUACAUUUACAUUACCAACCAGUCAUGCUCUCACAUCCAGCAGAUAUUGUGUGUUGCGCUGCGGUUCUUUGCAAAUGGAAGUUUUUAUAUGAUGUCAGAGAUGCAGAGUAAGACAACUGUAUGGAGGACAGUCAGAAAAGUUUUCCUGGCUCUGAAACGACUUUUACCAUCAUUGUGGUUUUCCUGGACAUAAACCUGUCAGAACAUCAAGGAGGAUCCACAGGAUUACAGGAUUUCCCAGUGUGAUUGGCUGCAUAGAUGCACACACAUCCCCAUCACAGCUCCCUCACAUCAUGAACAGGAAGUCCAUUCACAGCAUAAAUGUGCAGAUCAUAUGUGAUGCUGCAUACAUCAUUUCUAAUGUGGAGGCCACGUGGUCUGGGUCUGUUCAUGACUCCAGGAUUUAUGGAGAGUCUAACCUGAGCAACAGACUGCAGCGUGGUCAGCAGCAUAAAGAUUUUCACAAUAGAAUUCUCUUGUCUCCCUCCUUUAAUAUGCUCUGAUGUAUCCACUAUACAUUACAGGAGAGUUUGAUGGCCUUCUGCUGGGUGACAGGGGUUACCAUGACAACCCAGGCUGAUGACCUCAUACCCUGACCCUGAACCAGGCCCCCAACAGAACUUCAACCGGACUCACUGCAGGACCAGAGCCCGGGUGGAGAUGACCAUAGGCCUGCUGAAAGCCCGUUUCCAGAGCCUACGUCUCCUCAGGGUGACCCCUGAGAGGGCCUGUGAUAUUACUGUGGCAUGUCUUGUUCUUCAUAAUAUUACCACUAUUAGAGGAGAGCAACACCCUGCCCUACAAACUGAAGACCCAGAUGAUGAGCCCAUCCACCUGCAGCUAUCCAGGACAGCAGAGCAGUCAGAGACACCGUAUGCAAGAAUCACUUUAGAGUUUAAGUCUCCAUCAUCACCACCACAGCAAAUAAAGACAUGAAACACAUUUCAUUUGCUCUUCUUUAUUUCCUACAAAUAAAAGAUAGUUCAGUUCAUGUUCCAGUAGUUAACAUAAUUCACCUGUGACCAUCACCACCUCUAACUUGUGCUCCAGUAUUUCAGUUUCCAGAUCUGCCCUCCUAAUCGGUUUUUGGAUUUUUCUCAGCAAAUGCAGUUUGUAAAUCUGUUUUACUGAUAACUGGGAAUACAUAGAGGACAUUCAAUUAUACAGUUGCACAUGAAUUCCACAGAAUGAAGCUCUGGUGUUUCCUGAACAUCCAUCUCACUGUGUCAGUCUGUGCAGUGGAAGCUGAGGAACCAUCCUGCUGCUGUCCAGCCAUGCUCUGUUAAAAAGGAUGAGAAUGUGCAACACUUCAGUGUAGGCUAAAUGUCACACUCUAUAUUCCACCCAAAAUGUGAAUGAGAAGAGAACUAUCAGUAACAUCCUCUGUAUGCCUUUCUGGAUCCCCCUCUGUAAAGGCAGCAGACACAGUUUCAUCCUCUUCAUCCUAGAUCAGUGACAUGUUUCAGUAAACUUAAACUACCAUUUGGACAAAUCUGUGGAGUGUUGCC